GCCUAACACAUGCAAGUCGAGGGGUAACGAUGGCUUCGGCCAGGCGACGACCGGCGCACGGGUGAGUAUCGCGUUGUAACCUACCUCUAACUGGAGCAUAGCCCGAAGAAAUUCGGAUUAAUACUCCAUAAUACUAUGAGCAGGCAUCUUUUUAUAGUUAAAGCUCCGGCGGUUAGAGAUGGGCAUGCGUGACAUUAGUUUGUUGGUGAGGUAAUGGCUCACCAAGACCACGAUUGUCUAGGGGGUCUUGAGAGGAUGGUCCCCCAAACUGGUA
rnacentral:rRNA from 1 species